rnacentral:rRNA from 1 species
UACGUAGGGGGCUAGCGUUGUCCGGAAUCAUUGGGCGUAAAGAGCGUGUAGGCGGUUUGUCGCGUCUGCCGUGAAAGUCCGGGGCUCAACUCCGGAUCUGCGGUGGGUACGGGCAGACUAGAGUGAUGUAGGGGAGACUGGAAUUCCUGGUGUAGCGGUGAAAUGCGCAGAUAUCAGGAGGAACACCGAUGGCGAAGGCAGGUCUCUGGGCAUUAACUGACGCUGAGGAGCGAAAGCAUGGGGAGCGAACAGG